rnacentral:rRNA from 1 species
CAGCGCCACAAGUGGUGGUCGCGUUUAUUGGGCCUAAAGCGUCCGUAGCUGGAUUGGUAACUCUUUUGUGAAAUUGUCGGGCUUAACCUGACAACGUGCAGAAGAAACUGCUAAUCUUGAGACCGGAGAGAAGUUAGAAGUAUGCCAGGGGGAGCGGUAAAAUGCUAUAAUCCUUGGUAGACUACCUGUGGCGAAGGCGUCUAACUAGAACGGAUCUGACAGUGAGGGACGAAAGCUAGGGGAGCAAACCGGAUUAGAUACCCGAGUAGUCC